rnacentral:rRNA from 1 species
GACGAACGCUGGCGGCGUGCCUAAUACAUGCAAGUCGAGCGCAGGAAAUCGACGGAACCCUUCGGGGGGAAGUCGACGGAAUGAGCGGCGGACGGGUGAGAAACACGUAAAGAACCUGCCCUCAGGUCUGGGAUAACCACGAGAAAUCGGGGCUAAUACCGGAUGGGUCAUCGGGCCGCAUGGUCCGAAGAUGAAAGGCGCUUCGGCGUCGCCUGGGGAUGGCUUUGCGGUGCAUUAGCUAGUUGGUGGGGUAAUGGCCCACCAAGGCGACGAUGCAUAGCCGACCUGAGAGGGUGAUCGGCCACACUGGGACUGAGACACGGCCCAGACUCCUACGGGAGGCAGCAGUAGGGAAUCUUCCACAAUGGACGAAAGUCUGAUGGAGCAACGCCGCGUGAACGAUGAAGGCCUUCGGGUCGUAAAGUUCUGUUGUAAGGGAAGAACAAGUGCCGCAGGCAAUGGCGGCACCUUGACGGUACCUUGCGAGAAAGCCACGGCUAACUACGUGCCAGCCGCCGCCGUAA